rnacentral:rRNA from 1 species
UACGUAGGGUGCAGGCGUUAAUCGGAAUUACUGGGCGUAAAGCGUGCGCAGGCGGUUUGCUAAGACAGGUGUGAAAUCCCCGGGCUUAACCUGGGAACUGCGCUUGUUACUGGCAGGCUGGAGUGUGGCAGAGGGGGGUAGAAUUCCACGUGUAGCAGUGAAAUGCGUAGAGAUGUGGAGGAAUACCGAUGGCGAAGGCAGCCCCCUGGGUUAACACUGACGCUCAUGCACGAAAGCGUGGGGAGCAAACAGG